CCUACGGGCGGCAGCAGUCGAGAAUCAUUCACAAUGGGGGAAACCCUGAUGGGGCGACGCCGCGUGGGGGAAUGAAGGUCUGCGGAUUGUAAACCCCUGUCAUGUGGGAGCAAAUUAAAAAGAUAGUACCACAAGAGGAAGAGACGGCUAACUCUGUGCCAGCAGCCGCGGUAAUACAGAGGUCUCAAGCGUUGUUCGGAAUCACUGGGCGUAAAGCGUGCGUAGGCUGUUUCGUAAGUCGUGUGUGAAAGGCGCGGGCUCAACCCGCGGACGGCACAUGAUACUGCGAGACUAGAGUAAUGGAGGGGGAACCGGAAUUCUCGGUGUAGCAGUGAAAUGCGGAGAUAUCGAGAGGAACACUCGUGGCGAAGGCGGGUUCCUGGACAUUAACUGACGCUGAGGCACGAAGGCCAGGGGAGCGAAAGGGAUUAGAUACCCUGGUAGUC
rnacentral:rRNA from 1 species